GACGAACGCUGGCGGCAUGCCUAACACAUGCAAGUCGAACGGAGAUUAUUUCGGUAAUCUUAGUGGCGAACGGGUGAGUAACGCGUGGGCAACCUGCCCUCUAGAUGGGGACAACAUCCCGAAAGGGGUGCUAAUACCGAAUGUGACAGCAAUCUCGCAUGAGGAUGCUGUGAAAGAUGGCCUCUAUUUAUAAGCUAUCGCUAGAGGAUGGGCCUGCGUCUGAUUAGCUAGUUGGUGGGGUAACGGCCUACCAAGGCGAUGAUCAGUAGCCGGUCUGAGAGGAUGAACGGCCACAUUGGGACUGAGACACGGCCCAGACUCCUACGGGAGGCAGCAGUGGGGAAUCUUCCGCAAUGGGCGAAAGCCUGACGGAGCAAUGCCGCGGGAGUGAUGAAGGAAUUCGUGCCGUAAAGAUCUUUUGUUUAUGACGAAUGUGCAGAUUGUGAACAAUGAUCUGUAAUGACGGUAGUAAACGAAUAAGCCACGGCUAACUACGUG
rnacentral:rRNA from 1 species